UGCCCAGUUUUACAGAGCCUCUUGCUGGCUCCCAGGCCCACCCCUGCCCCAGGGCGCCUCCCUCUUCUUCCAGAACUAGUUAAUUCUCUCCUUAGCUCUCUGCAGGCUUCACCUGGCCCUCAGAAUACUGGCACAUGACAUUCAGGUGAUAUCAGCCAGUCUCCUCCUAUGUAAAAUGCGAAUAAACACGCUGCUUAGUAGAUAGUUGUGAGAAUUCAGCCACUGGAAGCCACACGCUAGAUGAGGUAAUAAACCUACUAGAGGCUGGGCGUGGUUCAGAGGGUUUAACCAUCUUUGUAUUUCUUUCUCUUCCUGAGCUCCUCCUGGUGGGCGUGCUAACAGGGGCUCAUUACUCCUCCCCCAGUAGAUGAGGUGCGACCCAGUGGCCUUUGGCAUGCUGCUUCUCAAAGUGUGAUUCGGGGGCCCGGACCUUUUCCAGACAUGCAGAGCUUGGAGCAUUGCAUUGUACCAAGCUCCUGGGUGAUUCAUACACACACUGAUUGAAGCUUUGAUUUUUAAAACCUUCUCGUGUGAAGCGAAAAGCAUCAUGGGACUUCCGGUGCAAGUCCUUGGAUCUGGGAGUGGUUCCUGGCUUCAUGGAAGCCCAAGGAUUUAGAGUCGCUUUUGUGAACCCCAUGGAAACAGAACCAGCUGCUCGUGUGGCCCACGCAAUCUCCUGCAGUCCAUACAGCACCUGUCCCUGUCUUUGAUGGCCUUGCCUCAGGAGUUGAGCCCGCACAGAGUCAGCAGGAGCCCAGAUACAGUCCUGUCAUCUUCUGGAACGUCAUGGUCGCUCUCCUCCGCACUCUGAAUGUCUUCCAACUCCAUUUCCUGUGGCAGCGUUGGCCCCCGGGUCUCACGUCCAGCAGUAGAGCUCUCCGUAAAUGACCACUUCCUGUCCGUGCAGCCUGCGCAUAGUGCGUUAUGACACGCGAGGUGUGGGAUUAUGGCCCAGCCACAUCUGCUCGUUGUCAAGUGCAUACGUCACCCGCGUAUUGUGUCUGUGCUCUGAUCUGUCAUAUUCAGCGUCUCAAGUUCAUCAGCUUACACAGGCGUUUACUUCUCUUCCAAAGAGUUCAGGAAUCCACUGGACAGGUUAGGAGUCUGCCGACUUUCUAGGCACCGCACUGGCACAGCCUAUGAAUGACACUCAGUGUUUUCUGGAAGAUUGAAUGAAGUCACAGCAGUUGGGCAGCCACCUUCCAGCCGUCCCUGGUACCCACGUCUCUCCCA